rnacentral:rRNA from 1 species
GAUGAACGCUGGCGGCGUGCCUAAUACAUGCAAGUCGAGCGAACAGACGAGGAGCUUGCUCCUCUGACGUUAGCGGCGGACGGGUGAGUAACACGUGGAUAACCUACCUAUAAGACUGGGAUAACUUCGGGAAACCGGAGCUAAUACCGGAUAACAUGUUGAACCGCAUGGUUCAACAGUGAAAGACGGUCUUGCUGUCACUUAUAGAUGGAUCCGCGCCGCAUUAGCUAGUUGGUAAGGUAACGGCUUACCAAGGCAACGAUGCGUAGCCGACCUGAGAGGGUGAUCGGCCACACUGGAACUGAGACACGGUUCAGACUCCUACGGGAGGCAGCAGUAGGGAAUCUUCCGCAAUGGGCGAAAGCCUGACGGAGCAACGCCGCGUGAGUGAAGAAGGUCUUCGGAUCGUAAAACUCUGUUAUUAGGGAAGAACAAAUGUGUAAGUAACUAUGCACGUCUUGACGGUACCUAAUCAGAAAACCACGGCUAACUACGU